rnacentral:rRNA from 1 species
GAUGAACGCUGGCGGCGUGCCUAAUACAUGCAAGUCGAGCGAACAGACGAGGAGCUUGCUCCUUUGACGUUAGCGGCGGACGGGUGAGUAACACGUGGAUAACCUACCUAUAAGACUGGGAUAACUUCGGGAAACCGGAGCUAAUACCGGAUAACAUGUUGAACCGCAUGGUUCAACAGUGAAAGACGGUCUUGCUGUCACUUAUAGAUGGAUCCGUGCCGCAUUAGCUAGUUGGUAAGGUAACGGCUUACCAAGGCAACGAUGCGUAGCCGACCUGAGAGGGUGAUCGGCCACACUGGAACUGAGACACGGUCCAGACUCCUACGGGAGGCAGCAGUAGGGAAUCUUCCGCAAUGGGCGAAAGCCUGACGGAGCAACGCCGCGUGAGUGAAGAAGGUCUUCGGAUCGUAAAACUCUGUUAUUAGGGAAGAACAAAUGUGUAAGUAACUAUGCACGUCUUGACGGUACCUAAUCAGAAAGCCACGGCUAACUACGUG